rnacentral:misc_RNA from 1 species
ACACCUCAACUCUCAUGGUUUGCCAUGAUGAGCUUGGACUUUGGGGGACUUGCUGGCCUACAGUCAGCUCCCCUCAAAUGAAUCAGCUUUCCAGUGUUUGGUGGCAUCACAGGUGUGAUAAAUAUCUACACUUGUGGUUUUCCACCGGGUAACCUUCAGUGAUGGGGGUUUGCUGGGGCUCAUAAACGUCUCUCCUUCAGCGAAGACAGCUUUGUGAAU